AUGUGGAAGUUCCUGGGCCAGGGGUUGAAUCUGAGCCACGGCAGCGGCAACGCCAAAUGCUUUAACCCACGGCUCGGGGCUGGGGAUCCAACCAGGGAAUUGAACCCUCGGCUUUGUAGUGACGGGAGCCGCUGCAGCCAGAUUCUUAACCCACUGUGCUAUGGGGGGAAUGCCCAGUUUCUAGUUUUUGAUAAAUUCUACCAUCAACUUGCUGCCUUCUUCCCUCCAGGCUGCAAAGCCCUGUUGGAGAAAAACACACCUUUUUUUUCCUUGGCAUCGCUAGGGAAUUUCAGAUGAAUGUUGUCUCCACCACAUUACGUGGGGAUUACGGGGAGGUGAUGUAAGUGAAAUGCCAGUAACAGACGUACCCCGUAAGCCCGCCACGACCAGGGCUCUGAAUCACCGGUUGUGUGCUCGUCAAAGGACCAGCAGCGUUGCUUUCCCAGAGCCGCCCAUUGAACAGUCUGUUUCCUUUGGAGGAACCUGCUCUCUCGG
rnacentral:lncRNA from 1 species